rnacentral:misc_RNA from 1 species
AGUGUUAUUUGUAAGUAAAGGGGGCCACGAAACGCACACCCAAGGGAAGGAGAGAUCAGUUUACAAAUGCCCUGGGCCUCAGUGCAUGGAACGCGUACUCUUGCUUUGUGUUGUUGCAACAAAAUCCAGGUAUUUAAAUUCCGUCGAUGGAUCGUGUGGCAUCUGAACCUUCGGUGGAGCGUGAGGCUGAGUGUAUUUGCGUUGACACGGCACAUGUAGCCGUUUCACCAGCAGAAAUUGUGAAUCAAGCACCAAAUCAGCAAAUAUCUACAGAUCAGGGAACAAUGUCAUUGGAAGUUUUGAACCUUUGCCAAUCAAGAAUGGUGUUUCUUCCAAAUCCUCUGGAAUAUAAGCUUCUUAACUUCAUUGGUAAGGGAUUUGAUGAACUUUCCAAAGUGUAUGUGGCCAGUCAUUGUCCUUCAAAAUCACUAGUUGUUGUGAAGCAGACUAAUGUUGAUGUUCAAAAUCCUGCACAGCUGGAAGAUUUAAAGAAUGAAGUGCAAGUGAUGCGGUCCCUCUGUCACCCAAAUAUUCUGCCCUUUUACUGUUCAUUUGUGACCAGGCAUGAGGUGUGGCAUGUCCUCCCUCUAAUGCAGUUAGGAUCAUGUUCUGAUAUUUUGAAGACAAGGUUUCAUGAUGGUAUGGGUGAAAUUAUUGUUGCUGCAAUUCUCUAUGAGGUCCUGCAAGGUUUAGAGUAUCUUCACAAGAUGGGUAUCAUCCACAGGGCCAUCAAAGGAAGUCACAUUUUACUUGGUGCAGAUGGAACAGUGUGCUUGUCAGGUUUGAGGAAAUCUAUCAUGCUCCUCCAGGAAAGCAAAAGUUCUAGGAUUGCUCAUCAUUUUCCAGCACAUGCAGUUGCUGUUUUACCAUGGAUGGCACCAGAAAUUUUGCAACAGGAUCUUCAAGGUUAUGAUUACAAGUCUGAUAUUUACAGUGUUGGCAUAACUGCUAUACAGUUGGCCAGAGGGACUGUUCCAUACAUUGGAAUGCCACCCACCAAGGUAUUGUUGGAGAAACUGAAAGGUAGCACUCCAAAGCUGUGUGACUCACUGGUAAUGAAUGACGUGGACACCUCGGCACAGUUGACUUCAGCUACCGACUCGGGUUUCGGCAGCGACCUCCCUUCCGCCGGUGAAGGAAAAGAGUCAAAUCAAGUCACAUUCCAGGGCCUGUUCUCCCUUGCUUUUCAGCAGGUUGUUGACUCAUGUUUGCAAAGAGAUCCUUCGUUAAGGUAAAAUGGCACCUUUUAAGUUUUUGAUACCUCCGGUUGAAAGAAAAGGAAACCUUGCUUCCAUUGGUAGGACACAAGAAAGAUAAAAAAGAAAGAGCAAUCGAUUCCUAUCUCAUUACUGCAAAGAUCGCUUUCAUAUUCGAUUCCUAUUUCCUUAGCGAAACUGGUAUUGAUUUUGUUUCCCUCUGAUAUUAAACUAAGAAAUUUUGACGAAUAUUUCGCCGGCUUUUUAAAUAGUUUUUUAGAUAUAUGGGCACGAAACAUGGCCAAUCAUAAAACAAAGUUGAGGAAAUAAUUAGAGCCCUUAGUUGUAUCGAUGAAAGCAUGUGCACUUAACCGGCCCAAAGUGCGGGAAAAUGUGAGUGCCGUAGUCACUAUUGGUUGCAGCCGUACUUCUGAUUGGUUGAAAGGGUGGUUCGUUGUUUGUCGACCAAUCACAGAACGUGACUUCUAUUAGUGAAAAAGACCGCGGUUCUGUCUGUGAAAAAUGAUCGAAAUAAAAUCAAUCUCAGAGCGUGAUUGAUGCAAAACAAUUUCAUCUCGCAUCACUUUCCUUAUUCGAUUGAAAACUGUUUCUACGAAGAAAUUCUCGGAUUACCGAUACUACAAGUUGAUUUUGCACGCAGAAACAACUACAACUUUCCUCUUAUUGACAGACCAACAGCUCCCGGCUUGGCAUCCCAUGUGUUCUUCAAGCAGGUGAAGCGGAAAGCGAAGGAGCUCUUGCCUGAUCUCUUGUCUUCCGUUCCAUCGCUCGCAAACUGUGAGAGAGAUAAACGCAUUGACCAAGAAAAUGCUACUGCGGG